rnacentral:rRNA from 1 species
AUACGGAGGAUCCGAGCGUUAUCCGGAUUUAUUGGGUUUAAAGGGAGCGUAGAUGGACAGUUAAGUCAGUUGUGAAAGUUUGCGGCUCAACCGUAAAAUUGCAGUUGAUACUGGUUGUCUUGAGUACAGUAGAGGUGGGUGGAAUUCGUGGUGUAGCGGUGAAAUGCUUAGAUAUCACGAAGAACUCCGAUUGCGAAGGCAGCUCACUGGACUGCAACUGACACUGAUGCUCGAAAGUGUGGGUAUCAAACAGGAUUAGAUACCCUGGUAGUCCACACAGUAAACGAUGAAUACUCGCUGUUUGCGAUAUACAGUAAGCGGCCAAGCGAAAGCAUUAAGUAUUCCACCUGGGGAGUACGCCGGCAACGGUGAAACUCAAAGGAAUUGACGGGG